rnacentral:rRNA from 1 species
GAGCGGCGUACGGGUGCGUAACACGUGUGCAACCUGCCUUUAUCUGGGGGAUAGCCUCUCGAAAGGAAGAUUAAUACCCCAUAAUAUGGUGUCCGGCAUCGGUCGCCAUUGAAAGCCUCGGCGGAUAGAGAUGGGCACGCGCAAGAUUAGAUAGUUGGCGGGGUAACGGCCCACCAAGUCGAUGAUCUUUAGGGGUCCUGAGAGGGAGAUCCCCCACACUGGUACUGAGACACGGACCAGACUCCUACGGGAGGCAGCAGUGAGGAAUAUUGGACAAUGGGUGGAAGCCUGAUCCAGCCAUCCCGCGUGAAGGAUGACGGUUCUAUGGAUUGUAAACUUCUUUUGUACAGGGAUAAACCUGCCCUCGUGAGGGCAGCUGAAGGUACUGUACGAAUAAGCACCGGCUAACUCCGUGCCAGCAGCCGCGGUAAUACGGAGGGUGCGAGCGUUAUCCGGAUUUAUUGGGUUUAAAGGGUCCGUAGGCGGGCCUGUAAGUCAGUGGUGAAAUCUCAUAGCUUAACUAUGAAACUGCCAUUGAUACUGCAGGCCUUGAGUAAAUUUGAAGUGGCUGGAAUAAGUAGUGUAGCGGUGAAAUGCAUAGAUAUUACUUAGAACACCGAUUGCGAAGGCAGGUCACUAAGAUUUAACUGACGCUGAUGGACGAAAGCGUGGGGAGCGAACAGGAUUAGAUACCCUGGUAGUCCACGCCGUAAACGAUGCUAACUCGUUUUUGGAUCUUCGGGUUCAGAGACCAAGCGAAAGUGAUAAGUUAGCCACCUGGGGAGUACGUCCGCAAGGAUGAAACUCAAAGGAAUUGACGGGGGCCCGCACAAGCGGUGGAUUAUGUGGUUUAAUUCGAUGAUACGCGAGGAACCUUACCAAGACUUAAAUGGGAAUUGACAGAUUUAGAAAUAGAUCCUCCUUCGGGCAAUUUUCAAGGUGCUGCAUGGUUGUCGUCAGCUCGUGCCGUGAGGUGUUAGGUUAAGUCCUGCAACGAGCGCAACCCCUGCCAACAGUUGCCAUCAUUCAGUUGGGGACUCUGUUGGGACUGCCUACGCAAGUAGAGAGGAAGGUGGGGAUGACGUCAAAUCAUCACGGCCCUUACGUCUUGGGCCACACACGUAAUACAAUGGCCGGUACAGAGGGCAGCUACCUGGUGACAGGAUGCGAAUCUCGAAAGCCGGUCUCAGUUCGGAUUGGAGUCUGCAACUCGACUCUAUGAAGCUGGAAUCGCUAGUAAUCGCGCAUCAGCCAUGGCGCGGUGAAUACGUUCCCGGGCCUUGUACACACCGCCCGUCAAGCCAUGGAAGUCUGGGGUACC